AAAACCAUGUUAUACAUUGUUACGACCCAGGGUCGUCUGUGUAUUUUUCAGUGUUGGAUUUCGUCUGUGCUGUGGUUCCUCCCGGCCUGAAGGUGGUGUUACCACCCUUAGGCUCUCUCCCUCUCCAGGUGCUGCUCCUCCCGGCCUGAGGGUGGUGCUACCACCAUUGGUGUUUCUCCAGGUGCUGGCUGUUGAUUGGUGCAGGGGCUGGAGGAGCUGCUAUAAAUGGCCGCCGCUGGAGACAAUCCUUCUCCUUCUCUUGACCCUGCUCCCAACUGCACCAGGCUUACCAUGUGGCAUUAUAUUGUAUUGUGUUUUGUUAUGUUAAAACUUAAGCAGUCCAGGUAAUCGUAGGGCACCUCACCAUGGGGCAGGACCGCAACAACCGUUGCCAAAACAACUCCCUGCAUUUAACAUGCGGAGAGUUACUCAAGGAACGGCAGUCCCUCCUCUUCUCCCUCCACCCCCGACAUCAACCCUGAACCUGCGGCCAACAGAGGAGCCUUCUUCAAGCCCCGCCAUCAGACCAACAUGGCGACGGGGAAGAAUGAAUGAGUCCAUUCCCUGCUCUGCGGCUGAAGUCCACAUCCUGAACCUGCUGGAGACGAUUAAACAGCAACAAGACCAGCUCGUGGCAAAGGUCAACUACCUCAGCAGCAGGAUGAACAGCACCGGGGCCAGUCGUUGAGAUGCCUGACAAUAUUAAUCUCCCCUUGGAACACCUGGAGGCAGUGGAGGCAUUUGAGGUGUUUUUAAAAUAACCCUCAAACUACCCAGCUCGACAGAGAGUAAUUGCUUCUUUGGCCACAAUUGGAGGCCAGGAUUUGAAGAGGGUGACUUGGAACAUUCUUGGCCGGCUAUACACAGACAACGUGUCCCACCAAAUCAACUGGAAAGGUGUGAACAACAAAAAGGCCUUCAGCCAGAUGUCGGCAAAGAGCUUGCUUUUCAGUGCUGUGAGGAAAAAUGCUAUCACAAAGUCUGUCACCGAUGCGGAGGUCACCAAGCACACCAUCCGGUGGUUUAACCUGGCCAUGGAUCGGGCGACAAAGAGACGAGGAGGUGUCCGUCCCCCAUCUAGUCCCUCACAGCCGUAGUCUUAAUUGAAACAGUUGAGAACAUAAUCAAUAAAAAAAAAAUUA